rnacentral:rRNA from 1 species
GGUCAAGCUAAUAAGAGCAAAGGGUGAAUGCCUUGGCAUCAAGAACCGAUGAAGGACGCAAAAAGCUGCGAAAAGCUUCGGGGAGGCGCACAUAGCCUGCGAUCCGGAGAUAUCCGAAUGGGGAAACCCGGCUGAGUAAAGCUCAGUCACUGCAUAAUGAAUCCAUAGUU